rnacentral:rRNA from 1 species
GACGAACGCUGGCGGCGUGCUUAACACAUGCAAGUCGAACGGAAAGGCCCUGCUUUUGUGGGGUGCUCGAGUGGCGAACGGGUGAGUAACACGUGAGUAACCUGCCCUUGACUUUGGGAUAACUUCAGGAAACUGGGGCUAAUACCGGAUAGGAGCUCCUGCUGCAUGGUGGGGGUUGGAAAGUUUCGGCGGUUGGGGAUGGACUCGCGGCUUAUCGGCUUGUUGGUGGGGUAGUGGCUUACCAAGGCUUUGACGGGUAGCCGGCCUGAGAGGGUGAACGGCCACAAGGCGACUGAGGGAGGGCCCAGACGCCUACGGGAGGCAGCAGUGGGGAAUUUGGCGCAAUGGGCGGAAGCCUGAUGCAGCAACGCCGCGUGCGGAAUGACGGCCUUCGGGUUGUAAACCGCUGUCGCCUGUGACGAAGCGGGAGUGACGGUAAUGGGUAAAGAAGCACCGGCUAACUACGUG